UACGUAGGGUGCUAGCGUUGUCCGGAAUUAUUGGGCGUAAAGAGCUUGUAGGCGGUUUGUCGCGUCUGCUGUGAAAAUCCGGGGCUCAACCCCGGACUUGCGGUGGGUACGGGCAGACUAGAGUGUGGUAGGGGAGACUGGAAUUCCUGGUGUAGCGGUGAAAUGCGCAGAUAUCAGGAGGAACACCGAUGGCGAAGGCAGGUCUCUGGGCCACUACUGACGCUGAGAAGCGAAAGCGUGGGGAGCGAACAGG
rnacentral:rRNA from 1 species